rnacentral:rRNA from 1 species
CCUACGGGAGGCAGCAGUGGGGAAUAUUGGUCAAUGGGCGCAAGCCUGACCCAGCAAAGCCGCGUGAAGGAAGAAGGCUCUCGGGUUUUUAACCUCCUUUUACAGGGAAGAGCAGAAGACGGUACCUGUCGAAUAAGCCGCAGCUAACUACGUGUCAGCAGCCGCGUUCAUACGGAGGUGGCAAGUGAUCUCCGGAUUUACUGGGUUUAAAGGGCGUGUUGGCGGGCUGUCAAGUCAGGUGUGAAAUCGGGGGGAUCAACCCACGCACUGCAGUUGAAACUGUGGGUCUUGAGUAGCGGAGAGGCAGGCGGAAUUCGUGGUGUAGCGGUGAAAUGCGUAGAUAUUAGGAGGAACACCAGUGGCGAAGGCGGCCUGCUGGACGACAACUGACGGUGAGGCACGAAAGCGUGGGGAGCGAACAGGAUUAGAUACCCUGGUAGUC